rnacentral:rRNA from 1 species
GAUGAACGCUGGCGGCGUGCCUAAUACAUGCAAGUCGAGCGAACAGACGAGGAGCUUGCUCCUCUGACGUUAGCGGCGGACGGGUGAGUAACACGUGGAUAACCUACCUAUAAGACUGGGAUAACUUCGGGAAACCGGAGCUAAUACCGGAUAAUAUAUUGAACCGCAUGGGUCAAUAGUGAAAGACGGUUUUGCUGUCACUUAUAGAUGGAUCCGCGCCGCAUUAGCUAGUUGGUAAGGUAACGGCUUACCAAGGCAACGAUGCGUAGCCGACCUGAGAGGGUGAUCGGCCACACUGGAACUGAGACACGGUCCAGGCUCCUACGGGAGGCAGCAGUAGGGAAUCUUCCGCAAUGGGCGAAAGCUUGACGGAGCAACGCCGCGUGAGUGAUGAAGGUCUUCGGAUCGUAAAACUCUGUUAUUAGGGAAGAACAAAUGUGUAAGUAACUAUGCACGGCUUGACGGUACCUAGUCAGAAAGCCACGGCUAACUACGUG